CUGCGUUAAAACAAAACGAAAGGGGACUGAGAUAAAAUUGCAAAACCAGGUUUCUACUGAUGCGAAGUCGACUUCCAUAGAGAAUACAGCGAGUGUAUUUGGGUGCCGGACACUUAAUAAAUACGUACUGAAACAACUGAACACUAAGAUCAUUUUCGUUUCCUUUCUAUGAUUAGCGGAACAAAAUCAUCUUAUAAUGUACGAUAUGACACAACAAAUUAUACUAGUAUUUAGAAUUUGAUCUUAUACAAUGACAACAUAUCCAAUAUAGUCUCACAACGUGGGGUCUGCGGAGUGUACAGUGUAAGGUAGACCGUACCCCUACCUUAGAGGUAGAGAGGUUGCUUUCCGAUAGACCCUCAGCUCAAGAAAAAACAGUCAAGGAAAAAAAUAAUGAAAGAACAAGAAACGACAUACAGUAAUAGCAUAGUAGUACAACAAAAUAAUACUAGUCGAACUACAAAAAAAAAAGAUCUUAUCACAUUAAAUCAGAAGAACAUUGCAAAAUCAUGCCUAGUCGAAAUGGCUUGGUCUGUGACUAAAGCCUCGAGAACAAAAUUUUAACAUAUAUACGACAUGUUUACCUACAGAAACAGAUGAAGCCUGUUAUCUAUGAGUUCAACUGAACCUAGUAUUUUCGACAUGGAACAUACAUAUAUAUGUGAAAAUAUCAGUUACAUUUUGAACUCAUCGGUUCAAAUCCUGGAUCUGCAUUUGCAGCUACACAAAUACAUUUGCGGUCGCGUACAGUGGCAGAGCCAGGAUUUCUGCUGAGGAGGUUCAAAAUCUAAAGAAAACUCACCGAAGGGGAUUCAAAAUCAACAAUAUAUACAUAAAAAUUAUUUUGAUCCGUCGAAGGGGGUUUAGAAGAACCCCCUAUUACUAGACUGGCUCCGCCUCUGGUCGCGUAUCAUAAACCAUCUCAGCAAUUGAAGAAGCCUUAGUAUAUGCAUACAAUUCUAGGCACAACGAGUUCACACACAUCAUUGUCCAUUUUCACAUCAAAAACUAUUCCAGUUUUUUGAAUUUCAUACCUGAACUAUUACGUUUAUGAGUUUCAUACCUGAACUAUCACCAAAUGUUUAUCGAAACACACCUUAACUACAAGUUGCUAACUUUUCCUACCUGAAUUAUCACCAUCAUUCGUGUAAGAAAAGUGAACAACUGAUAACUGAAGUGUGUUUCGAUAAACACUUGUCGAUAGUUCAGAUAUGAAACUCAAUAAAACAGGAUACUUUAGGUGUGUUUCGACGAACACCAACAAACACUUAUCUCUGCUUUUAUAUAAACAUAGAAAAAUUCACAGAUUCACAAAAUUCGAAAAUCUCUUGAAUAACAAUUUGAUAUAUAUCAUAGUUUUGAUAUUCCAUAGUUUUGGUGUUUUUAGAUAAAUAUUACUGUGUGUCUGUGCGUAAUAAUUUCGCAAACAUAGACAUUUGCACAUUCACAAAAAUUGUUCAAAAAUACACAGUACUCGUAGCUGUAUAACUUUUGAAUAUUAAUACAAACAAACAAAUUAAAAACUCGUAAUGAAUAAUUUCUUCUACGGAUUUUCCUAAGCAAUUAAUCGUAAUGAGACAUGUAAUAUUAUUACUGUGUGUCUCUGUGUAAUAAUUUCACAAACAUAGACAUUUACACAUUCAGAAAAAAUGUUCAAAAAUACACAGUACUCAUAGUUGUAUAACUUUUGAAUAUUACUAUACAAACAACAACAUACCGAGUGUAUUCCUACAUAGUGGGGUCUAGGGAGGGUAGAGUGUACGCAGACCAUACCAUUACCUCAGGUGAGAAGUAGAGAGGCUGUUUCCGAUAGACCCCGGCUUAGGACCGAUAAUAAUAUAACAAACAAAAAACGUAAAUGUAUAGUACAAUAUGCAAAUACACUAACACCGCUAUCCUCAAAAUAAUACUACAGCCACAACAUAAUACUAGAAACUAUCUAACCAAAACCAUAGACAUUACACAACAAACUAACACCGCUAUCCUCAAAAUAAUACUACAGCCACAAGAUAAUACUAGAAACUAUCUAACCAAAACCAUAGACAUUACACAACACCAUGAACAAGAAACUUCAGACACAAAAGAAACACUCCCCUACUGUUACCGACGCACUCUCACCCUGUAACCCUCUACCCUAAUCCGCAUCAUCCACAGCUUCCUAUCAAAGGUCAUGUCCUCUGUAAGCUGUAAUUGCUCCAUAUCAUGCCUAAUCACCUCCCUCCAAUAUUUCUCUAGCUUACCUGUACCCCGCCUAAAACCAUCCAUACACAAGGUCUCACACCUCCGCACUGGAGCCUAAAACCAUCCAUACACAAGGUCUCACACCUCCGCACUGGAGCAUCAGAACCCCUCCUCAUCACGUACUCGAACCAACCUCCUCAUCACGUACUCGAACCAACGUAACCUCACUUCUCGCAUCUUGUCCUCCACCGAAGCAACUCUCACUUCUCCCGAAUAAUCUCAUUCCUCACCCUAUCUUUCCUGGUAAGGCCACACAUCCAUCGCAAUGAAUAAUUUCUUCUACGGAUUAUAAAAUCAAUUAACGUAAUGAAACAUGUACCUGAACGUAAACUCCUUAGAUGAACAUCAACAAAUACUAAACUUUGCUUUAAAAAAAAAAAAAAAAACUCUUCAGAUUCCCAAAAAUAUAGAGAACUAUGAGCUGAAUAAUUUUUUUCAGUUGUAAAUAUAUGAAUACUUUGUAGGUUUUGUAUAUUGUAGAUAUGGUGAUUUUAGCUAAUAUUAGUGUGUGUCUGUGUGUAAAAAAUUGGCCAUGAAGAAGAAUAUGAGAAGAGUUGUAAUAUGAUUAGGGAAAUUCGGCUUUUAAUUCGUUUUUUG
rnacentral:lncRNA from 1 species